rnacentral:rRNA from 1 species
AGAAUCAACGCUGGCGGCGUGCCUAAUACAUGCAAGUCGAACGCGAAAGUCCCGCAAGGGAUGAGUAGAGUGGCAAACGGGUGAGUAACGCGUGGGUGACCUGCCUUCGAGUGGGGGAUAACGUUUCGAAAGGAACGCUAAUACCGCACUGACAUCCUGCUUUUUAACAGGCGGAGAUCAAAGCCGGGGAUCGCAAGACCUGGCGCUUGAAGAGGGGCCCGCGUCCGAUUAGCUAGGUUGGUGGGGUAAUGGCUCACCAAGGCAUCGAUCGGUA